rnacentral:rRNA from 1 species
GACGAACGCUGGCGGCGUGCUUAACACAUGCAAGUCGAACGGAAAGACCCUGCUUUUGUGGGGUGCUCGAGUGGCGAACGGGUGAGUAACACGUGAGUAACCUGCCCUUGACUUUGGGAUAACUUCAGGAAACUGGGGCUAAUACCGGAUAGGAGCUCCUGCUGCAUGGUGGGGGUUGGAAAGUUUCGGCGGUUGGGGAUGGACUCGCGGCUUAUCAGCUUGUUGGGGGGGUAGUGGCUUACCAAGGCUUUGACGGGUAGCCGGCCUGAGAGGGUGACCGGCCACAUUGGGACUGAGAUACGGCCCAGACUCCUACGGGAGGCAGCAGUGGGGAAUAUUGCACAAUGGGCGGAAGCCUGAUGCAGCAACGCCGCGUGCGGGAUGACGGCCUUCGGGUUGUAAACCGCUUUCGCCUGUGACGAAGCGUGAGUGACGGUAAUGGGUAAAGAAGCACCGGCUAACUACGUG